rnacentral:rRNA from 1 species
UACGUAGGUGGCAAGCGUUGUUCGGAAUUACUGGGCGUAAAGGGCGCGUAGGCGGCGGGGUAAGUCAGGUGUGAAAUCUCGGGGCUCAACCCCGAAACUGCACUUGAUACUGCCUUGCUCGAGUACUGGAGAGGAGAUUGGAAUUUACGGUGUAGCAGUGAAAUGCGUAGAUAUCGUAAGGAAGACCAGUGGCGAAGGCGAAUCUCUGGACAGUUACUGACACUGAGGCACGAAGGCCAGGGGAGCAAACGGG